rnacentral:rRNA from 1 species
GACGAACGCUGGCGGCGUGCUUAACACAUGCAAGUCGAACGGAAAGGCCCUGCUUUUGUGGGGUGCUCGAGUGGCGAACGGGUGAGUAACACGUGAGUAACCUGCCCUUGACUUUGGGAUAACUUCAGGAAACUGGGGCUAAUACCGGAUAGGAGCUCCUGCUGCAUGGUGGGGGUUAGAAAGUUUCGGCGGUUGGGGAUGGACUCGCGGCUUAUCAGCUUGUUGGUGGGGUAGUGGCUUACCAAGGCUUUGACGGGUAGCCGGCCUGAGAGGGUGACCGGCCACAUUGGGACUGAGAUACGGCCCAGACUGCUACGGGAGGCAGCAGUGGGGAAUAUUGCACAAUGGGCGGAAGCCUGAUGCAGAAACGCCGCGUGCGGGAUGACGGCCUUCGGGUUGUAAACCGCUUUCGCCUGUGACGAAGCGUGAGUGACGGUAAUGGGUAAAGAAGCACCGGCUAACUACGUG